rnacentral:rRNA from 1 species
AGUGAACGCUGGCGGCAGGCCUAACACAUGCAAGUCGAACGGCAGCACGGCAGUAGCAAUACUGUGGGUGGCGAGUGGCGGACGGGUGAGGAAUACAUCGGGAUCUACCCUGUUGUGGGGGAUAACGUAGGGAAACUUACGCUAAUACCGCAUAAGAACUGAGGUUGAAAGCGGCGGACCGCAAGGCGUCGCGCGAUUGGAUGAACCGAUGUCCGAUUAGCUAGUUGGCGGGGUAAAGGCCCACCAAGGCGACGAUCGGUAGCUGGUCUGAGAGGACGACCAGCCACACUGGAACUGAGACACGGUCCAGACUCCUACGGGAGGCAGCAGUGGGGAAUAUUGGACAAUGGGCGCAAGCCUGAUCCAGCCAUGCCGCGUGGGGUGAAGAAGGCCUUCGGGUUGUAAAGCCCUUUGUUCCGGAAGAAAGACAUUCGGUUAAUACCCGGGUGUUCUGACGGUACCGGAAGUAUAAGCACCGGCUAACUUCGUGCCAGCAG